UUGUCAUUUUUAAGCACGACUACGGUAGUCUGUUAUAAUUCCUUGGAUUGCUGCGACUCCAAGUUCAUCUUGGCUAAGAUCGCCUAUCGUCCUGAGUUGCUUAGGGACUUCGUAGCGUAAUUAAUUAAUGAUUACAUAAGAGGAACGAGGUCGACGACAUACCACGAAGUCUCUACUGCAGUGGACACGUACGUGAAUACGUAGUACGUGUGGACGGCGUUAUCCAGUUUGGUCCAGUGUCCAGACUCCGUGGAAGGGUUGGAUGAGAUGGUGACGAGGGGGUUGGGCCUGGAACGGGGGAGACCCAUGCAACAUUGAUUUUAAGCUAGCGUGACGUUGGAUCUGAUAUGCAACACUGCAAAGGCUUAUCCCAGAUGCAUAAUGCAUGGAGACGGACCAAUAAUCGUGCGCCAUCUUUAAUAUGAGUAUAUUUGAGGAUACAAAUUAUUAUUAGCUCCUGACGCAUUUCGGGUGUGCGAAAUUUUCUCUUUUUCUUUCUCUUAGACACAACGUCGAUUACGAAGUAAGGCGUUCCAGUGGCCUGGAUAGAGUUUUCAAUAAGUCCCAUUGGAAUCGCCCAAUGAGAAUGAAGCUGUUAUUGGGAGUUUAAAUAAUUCAUUGUUACUCGCGCUUUUGCUAAAAGGUCAAUUGACAUCCGGUAGAGGUCGACACGGUCUCGACCUCUUUAUAGACGGUUUAUGACGUCAGUUCCUGGCAAGCUGGAGGUGGAACGAGAGAUUGACGGGUCGAAGGAGAUUUUUAAGCGUAAUUAUAAUCAGAGAUUGUGCCUUUACGGCGGCCUGAUAAUGGGUCAAGCUACACGAUUUUGCCCCGUUCGUAAUUCAUAAUCCCCGUUCGAAGGCGAUUACGAGUAGCGAUGUUGGUAACCAGGCGUCGCGACGUUACCCCGGAGGGACCUCAAGUCCGAAGUAAGCCCUGUUGACAAUGUGUAUCUCUUUCGUUCUUUUUUUUCUUCGUUUUCCGUCUGGCCUGGUCCCGCUCUCGGAAAUCUUGGGGCCUCAGGGCCCAAGGGAACCGUACGUACCGAGAAUUCAAUGUCGCGAUGUCAUAACCCAACUUCUUGGUCUCCCACUUUGCUUCCACUUUUUAAUUUCAAAUUUAUUUCAUCGACCAAUCUCUAUUUCUACUACCUCAUUUUAUACUCAACCUUUCUCUUCCACCUUCACCCAUUCUAUGGCACGUUCGAAAAAAUUCUGCCGAAGCUCAUCCAAGAUCGCUCCGAAGGCUUAGACCCAUUUUGAAAAGCAGCCUUGCAAGUACCCCAGGAUACAUCUUGCACGCCUUUUGCGAUCUGAUCCAUGAAUUUUCAAUCUGUUACAGAGUCCGCCGAGUCAUUACACGACUGGUACCGUAAAUCGCAGAUGUUUUGUAAGCGGCGCGGCGCUACCAUAAGGCGGCUUCCACUCUACGCUCCUCUAUCCAGUCUCCCUGUUCGCUUUCGAAGCAAAAGGUGCUCGUUGCUCCUUUUGCUACGUCUGCCGGCAGUCUAGACCGAGGCUUGGGUUCCCGUCCGGACCUUCCCCCGGGAGUUAAGAGGGGGACCAGGAGGGAGGGACGUCACCUCCUUGCGGCCAGUGAGCGAAUCAGCGAAUGAGCGAACACACUGCGCCUCUCUCGCUGCUCAUUGCUCACCUUUUGGUCCUGAGGCUACCAGUUCCCUCUUCUCCGCGUUAUCAUUCACAACAGCAGCUAUACGAUAAACCCAAGGAGAACGUGAACGAUCUAGAACGAUGAUAACGAUUGUAAAUCAACUUGGUCGUCACAAGUGUUUAGACGGCCACUGUACCCAGUAUCAAUCCUGAGAUGAAAACAUGGCUCAAAGUACCAACGAUAAUUGCUAUUAUGGAUUCAAAGAGUAAUGGCUACCUUUUUUGAUUCUCUACUUUUUUUUAGACUUCAAAGCAGCCUGGGACAGAGAGUUUUGAAAAAUUGGUAAAAGACAAUAAGUUUUUAAUGACUUUUUUUUUUUAAUCCUGAUCUUUUUUUGCUUUCUUCUUUUUUCCCAUCUAUAAUAUGAUUCCUGGAGAACGUCAGCGUGCCGUAUAAAGUGCCUUGCACUCUGGGAUCAUCCAUUAGGCCUGAGUAAGGUAUACCCACUGGAUCGUUUUGUUCCUUGAAAUAAAAGGAUGGCAGAAGGAAAAGAAAAUUAAAAGAAGAGUCCUCGAAGAUGAGCUGGUCCACCUUCGUUGGAUGCACUUCCUCGCGUUAACACUAUCCUACGUUAUAGCGUCCCGACGCUUAACGACGGAAAAUACCCGAGCGCCGUGAACAGCCUAUGUGUACAUACUUAUAGAUAUAUGCUUAACGCUAUUCACGCCAAGAAAGCGAUCGGCUGUUAAUUAUACAUAAUAGCAAAGUGCCAAAACGUGUUGGAAGAUAACGGUGUCCGGCUCCCGCGAUGCAUAACGGCACUAAGAACUAAUAAUAAUAGGAAGAAUAAUGAUGGUGUCAAGAGAGAGGAUGACUGGGAGCAAUGAAUAACAAAGGAGAGAAAUCCGCGAUGAAAGCAUUCAGGGUGACAGAAAAGCAGGGAAUGAAAAAAGAAGAAUAAUAUUCUAAGCUUAAAAAUUCUCGUGUCUUAACCAGUGAUUAAGUAGGUGGAACAGAUGGGAGUACGAAGGAACGGUGGGAAAUCUUUAAAGAGAUAUUGAGAGUGUGGCCAGAGGGUAUUAAGAAUUAUCAGGAGCGAAGAGAGACGCCGAGUAUCCUGUGGCAAUGGCGAUGCAGCAUCCCAGCUGCAUCCGCGAUGCACCUGCCUCCCUUCUUUCUGCAACCGACGCCGACGCCGCCUCGCGAGAGACUUUCCAAGAAACCCAACCACUCUCGCCCCGUUUUUCAUCAAUUGUUCUUGCUGGCACAUUCAUUCGCUCUCUCGCUCGCUCUCUUACUCUCUCCUUUCAUUUGUCUAUACGGUUCGCCGCCGUUGAUCCCACCCGCCCCCCUUCUUCUUCUUCGGCAACCUCACCCACUGUAUCUUCAAGCAUCGACACCCUCCGACUAUCAUCUUCUGGCGUUUCUCAUCAUUUCCAGUGUCCAUCUGCAGCAUCCUUGACCUGGACCAUAAUUCGCACGGCCAUUCAGAUGUCAAUUGAGCGAGGAUACGACGAAGAUGCCCGAGGAGUACCGAUGAGAGAUCAGCGUGGCUCCGGCCCUCGGUGAAGGAAUCUUCGGCUGGUUCUAGGUGAAUUGAAUGUUAGAUUGAUUGUAAUGACGUUUCUUAUUUCAAUUGAUUAAGACUUUUUCUUUUACUUUUUUGACAUAACCUGUUUAAUUAUUUUAUAUGAUGCCUGAGCUGUAUUCAGGGGACGGUGGAAAGUAGAUAUCAUGACAGCACUGCGAGAGGCAGACGUAUAAACUGGUCCAGGGGGAUAUUGGAGAAACCAGAGAAAUGGACCCUCUCGGCUUGGGGAUCCUGAAUGGUAAUGAUUAUAGCAAAUUGCUCUUGGUUGGGGAGGACUUGGCGGGGUGGCUAAUAGCCACUCAGUGAGGCUGUUGAAACCGCGCAACCCUUCACUCUUAACCUUUGAUCCCCUCCCCGCGCAAGUCAACCCUUCAAAACUUCAUUGUUUCACCCUGUUUUCAGAUCGUGCCAUACUUCCUUGAGUGUAGAACAUAUCCGAGUUCACGAUGCUUCUUCUUGGACUGAAUACGAGGACGAGCUGAUGCGAAGAUAUUGGGCCUUGUGCUGAACGCAAGACUUCCUGGCACUGUACUGCAUUAGUGCACCUGGGCGUAUGCUCUACGAAGAUGCUGUUCUUACUGAGUGACGUGCACCAGGAACAUCCUCUUCCGGGCUUCGAGAUCACAGAUAAAUGUCUUUUCCAUGUUGCCUGGAAAGCCACUGAAACAGUAGGGCCCCAGGCGGUGCUCAUUGUGCCCAGGGACUUGGGGCCCCAUCUAUCCACGUCCUAGUGGUUACUUCUGCAUCCUGACAGCCUACUCUAACGAUGUGCAUACACUGGAAGAUGUCUUCGGUUCGACUGCCAUUCCUUACCCUCCAUAUUUGACUGCGCCUUCUGUCAAGGAUCUGCGACUCGUGCAUGGAAGAAUUUGAAGAAAAAUGAUAUAAUUUACAAAAUCUUAAAAGCCAUUGCAAUCAAUAUAAAUUGAUUCUAGGUAAACAAGCAAGUUGUAGUUAAAACUUAUCUGGACAUAAGAUACCGAAGGCCAACUAGGUGGUAUAGCUUUUCACAUGGGUCUUCGAAGAGUCAUCUUCUAUUUUUCUUUAACAAUUUGCAUAAAUAUCUACCACAUGGUUAUUACUUGCCAUGAAAGAUUAAUUAAGCGCGAGUCUGAACAGCCUGUUAAUGUAAUUUCAAAUUUUUACGUCUACCCUCAGGGAGAGUCAAUGCCAGCCCCCCUGCUCACUAUACCCUCUAUGCAUGUAGUACAAUUAUUACAGCGUGUAUUACAUAUGCAUUAACAGCAUGAAAAUUUACAUGUAAUCUUUUAAACGUUUAAUCCUUAAGGAUCAUAUCCUGAUUAAGGAUUACCUUUACCAGUAAUCUAACUCCGUCCAAGAACGUACGCACCCAAGUUGUCUUUGGCCAGAAAAAUUUGUUAAUUACAGAAAUUCAUUUGCUUUCCUUACGACUUGAAUUUUUUCAUUAAAACUUUCUGUUGCAGUCUUACGAAUUGCGCCAGUGACUUGAAAACUAAAAAGCACUCGGCCGCUCCUGCUCCCAAGUUACAAUGGUCCUCACCGUCCAGCGGUCAGAAGGUUUUCAACUCCCUAAUGGUCAAUUUCCCACUCAGACGAGAAUCAUUAGUCUAUGCACCCUGGGGUGUAUUUUCGCCAAGGGUUAUACCACGAGAAGUACACUCGAUAAGUACUGGAAAAAGAAUACUGAAAGCAAACUAGCCAUUGGAUGUACGCAUGUGCACUAUUACAAACCAAACAAAUUUUCUUGCGAUACAAAUUAAAUUAUAUAUUACUUUUCGUCUUUUUAAAGUUACUCAGUUAUUUUUCUUUUACAAUAAAUCUCAAAUUCCCGCGCAACAGACAAGUCCACGAAUCGAGCCCCUGGCGGAAUUUUCUGUAACUACGCAAAGUGACAAGCCAAAUAAAAUUCAUCGAGCCGUCUGCUUCGUGGAAAACCCUAAGUUGCAAUAAUAAACUUCGACAAUCAUUAACCCACCACUGUUCUCAUUAAUAAGAAAAGCAAAUACGUAUUUACAAUAAAUAAAUCCUUAAACAGUGGAUCACUAUGUGACAAACUCACUCCCAGGCUCAUCGUACCACCAACGAUCCCACGACGUGUCGCACACUCACGAAUAGAAGCAGUCUACAGAAAAUCAGAAAAAGGAUCAUAGAACAUUUCGAUGAUCACAAUUCCGAGAAAGACACGUUUUUCCACAACGUAGCAAGCACGCCCAUACGAGUCGGAAACGUUUGAAUAAAUUCUUGGAACUGAUAUCGAUUCCACGACCCACGCACGAUCUUCAAGCAGCUGCAUUGUUAACUAAAAAAAAAAGAAAGCAAGGACAAGACGACGAGACGACCGGCAGUCCCCAUGAAUUCAUCGAAAUGACAGCGGCGGCCAUCUUGGAUAUCUUAAGGUACAACAGUCCCGUUUGCGAGUAAUACUUGAAUCAAGUUGGCGUCGAUAUACAUACAAAUUUAUAUUGAAAAUAAAGAUCAGCCAGUCGAUUUGACUUGAUGUUUGCACGAUAAACAAUCCUUUUUCUUUUUAUAAAUAAAAAUGAGGCUUAAAAAUAUAUUUUGACUUGAAUUACAAAUAUCGGGGUCCAAUGUGUCGUUUGAUUUCUUAAAUUGAGCUUUAAUCAUUAUUUCGAAACAGAUGAGCACUGCAGUAUUUCCCGCGGUUUUAUUGCAUAGCACGUGGCGGACUCAGAGCCCGAUGGCCUUGUGCGUCUCGACGCCCGUCUGCCGCUGCUCGGAAUGCCCGCAAUAAUUGCUUACCUAUGCUAUACGUGCAUGCUUAAUCAGAGGUGUAUGAACUCGACGCAUAAACAAGCGGGUAUGUAACAUCCUAGCACACGUAUGUUAGAGUAAUGGGUUCGUGUGUGGUUGAAUUAAAAUUUUUUUUUAAAUUGCUAAAUAAUUAGAUAGCAAGAGAUAGAUAGUAGUACCGCUACAAAUAGCAACAGUGACAACAGUGAUACUAAAAGUCCAAUUAACAAAAACAAUGACGUGUCAAAAAGUCGACAAGCCAUCAGGCGAAUUGCUUAAUUUUGUAAAAUUCAACGAAUCACGAAUGAAAAGUUGACUAAUAUUUAAAAAAUUGCACUUCUCGACGUCCGCCAUUUUAUUGAUUCAGCAAUGGCGUCAAGGAGCUCGGACGGUAUUCUUGUUUCUUUAAUCCCCUCGUCAGACUUGCAUAACCCAAUUACAACGGCCGAGAAUAUAAACGUACGAAAUACGGAGCUGCUAAGAGUAUAAGAGAAAAAGAAAGAUUCAUCCUUGUCUGGAGAUAUUCUUGUCCUGACGUCGUAAGGACGUCGUCCGUCCAGUCUGGUUCGCUAAUCGUUACUGGUCGAUCAGGACGAGUCUCACACGCCAGACGAAACGCAUUAACUUAUUACGAGGAUCGGUAGGACGAAUUUCAGCUCGACGCAGUAGCCAAGAACGAAAGCAAGAAAGACAAGGAAAAAAUAAAUUAAUGCAACAUAAAGGCAUACGUAUCUUUAAGAGAGUAUGAAUAUUGAGCAAAGAAUAUCGAAGCACGUCCUUUUAUCAUAGACAAUUCCCUCGGGCUAAGAAAAGUGGUAAGCAUAUAUAUACAUAUAUACACUACGUAUAAAAGGCUUCGGGCGAUAAUUUCGAAAGUAUAUCGAUAUCCGAAUAUCGAUUAAGAAACGAUUAAAAAUCUGAUCGCUGUCUACCGGGUGUGAUAACGUAACCCAAGAGGCGUCCAUUGACGUACGCUAUCCGCAGCCAUGUUAUAUGUUGUAAAAAAACAGGAAGGACCACUUGGCCCAGAUUAAAUGGCAGUUUCGUUCAGUAUAGCUUUAGGACCAAUCUCGUCUAGUCGUGAGGGGUUUUAUUAAAUAACAGAGAACGUAUAAUUGGGCUAUACAUACUUCGCCAUCUCGUUACCACAUAUGUAUAUAUAACGUACGCAUUUAACUACAUAUGUAUAUAUAUAUAUAUGCAUAGUAGCAGUAAUACACGGACCACGUUAUCCACUGUCUGCCAGCUUGUUACUUCAUGCGUGCGUCCGCAUUCCUAGCCUUCAAUUACGAGCCGCGCAUUCUUGUCUAUUAGAAUGUUGUUGGAUGGACAAAGUUUGAAAAUAGCGAAUAAUUCAGUGCGGAUUCCAACAGGCGUGUUUACCCGGUGAAGCGAGUACCGAAGUGAGAAGAGAUAAUUGAAAGAUUUUCCAGUUGGAUCUAAUCGAAGGAUCCUUUGAUGUAUAAUUUUGCCUUCUUUCCUAUUUCAAAAUUACCCGCCAACUCUCACUUGCUGUCUUUCUAGUUCGACGACUCCCCGCUAGAUGCCACUCGUCGAUAACGAGAACCACGUGACAACCGGUUCGUCGAACGGUGAACGCUGCUCUACGUAUUUACACGUGUCUGUAUGUACGUAUAUGAAAUCAUACGUGGUUCACUGAUAUGCUGAUAAAUUUGUGGCUCGCUUACUAUCAGUGUUUAUGUGGAUGGGAGGACUACGGUGUGGAUGAUAUUUCAUGUUAUUCGUGCAUAGCGACGUAAUCGACACGGAAGCAGAGCUAACGUCUGGUGGUUCGUUUGGUCUGUUUGUCGGACGCGGAGCGUCCUCGUUUAACCUGCGUACGAGAAUUCACGGAUUGGCGCCUUUGUGCCUCGCGGCCGGAAAUUGGAUACUAGAAAUAAUUAACCUCGUUAUUUACGAUCUUCGUAUUUCAAUUAUGCAUUUCCGGGCACGGAAAUGAACCAGCGUCGAUGGACUGGAUAACAGAACGGAUGGAUGAAUGCAAGUUAAUUGUAUUUAUAUAGAUAUACGUACAUGGUAGGAGUGCUGCUUACGCAGCAUCCACGAAUACCAUUUCUAUCUGGAGCGCAACGUUAAUUGAUACGUGAUCAAUUGAAGUUCGAUUGUCGAUUGAAUCGAUCGGCUGUACCUUCUGGUUUAAUUGGAGGACAAAAGUAUAUGAUCGAGAUGGACGUCCUGUGAUGAGCGAACUCUACACUGCAAUUAUUGGGGUUAAUUAGAAGUAGAUAUGAAAAGUACGUGACUCAUUGGUCUUAACCAUUUGACGGAAAUUGUGGCUGGUUUGACUGUCUGAAGGUUAACCAUAGAAAUCGAUGUGUUUGUCAGGCCCAAAGUAGAAACAGACGGAUAGUCAGUCAGACAGACAAUCAGUCAGUCAGACUGAGUGGGUGGCUGCUGUAAAAGUCUGAAAGGAUGGACCAGCAAACUCCAAUGAAGCAGGCAGAUAGGGAGAAAUGUUUCACAAUUGUUGUUACGGUACGAUCCUACAGGUGCGAUAAAAUUUUUUUUUUUCCCUAUGACGAGCAAUAACCAACGCAAUUAAACACGUGGAGACCAAGAGAAAUCGCUCGGGUGGAACUGCGAGGUAACAGCGUCGUGAAGGGGGAAGAAAAAAAAAAAGUUAAAUAAUAGCAGGCUAGACCAGACUCAGACAGUGCGAACCAGACCGGAUAUGGAUUUCUCGAUGAAUAUCCUCCUGAAGCCAGCUCGAGGAACAAAACCAGAUGGAUAAAAAAUGGUGUUAUCUCAACGAGGUCAUCGAUAUCGCCGAGACGCGGAUGGCGUUAAUUACUUGAAGAUUGUCAAUAACAAUUAUUGAAGCCAAAGAUUCAUGGUGCCAUUGAGCUUCGAGGGGGAGGGGGUUAUAAAGUCUCGAGGGAGACGUUUGGAUUGUAUUAUGAAAAACUGCCAAAAAAAAUUUUA